rnacentral:rRNA from 1 species
UACAGAGGUCUCAAGCGUUGUUCGGAUUCAUUGGGCGUAAAGGGUGCGUAGGCGGCGCGGUAAGUCGGGUGUGAAAUCUUGGAGCUUAACUCCGAAACUGCAUUCGAUACUGCCGUGCUUGAGGACUGGAGAGGAGACUGGAAUUUACGGUGUAGCGGUGAAAUGCGUAGAUAUCGUAAGGAAGACCAGGGGGGAAGGCGGGUCUCUGGACAGUUCCUGACGCUGAGGCACGAAGGCCAGGGGAGCAAACGGG